UACAGAGACUGCAAGCGUUUAUUCAGAUUCACUGGGCGUAAAGGGUGCGCAGGUGGCCAGGUGUGUGAGGCGUGAAAGCCCGGGGCUUAACCCCGGAAUUGCACCUCAAACUACUUGGCUAGAGCAUUGGAGAGGGGAGCAGAAUUCAUGGUGUAGCAGUGAAAUGCGUAGAUAUCAUGAGGAAUACCAGAGGCGAAGGCGGCUCCCUGGACAAUUGCUGACACUCAGGCACGAAAGCGUGGGGAGCAAAAGGG
rnacentral:rRNA from 1 species